GUUGAAUAUGAGAUGGGAAAAUUGAGUAGAUGCCAUCUUGCUACUAAAACUUAAUUAGGGGGAGCAUGUAGUGCAUACUGAUGAUAUGAAUAAAAACAUAGAUUCUAAAAAUACAAGUCAAAAGUGAACUUAUGAAAAUAUCCUCUUUAAGAUGCAUUGCUCAGGACUAAUUUGGAGUGAAGGUAAGAUUAAUGUUACAGUAGUCCCUCCUUACCCGUGGCUUUACUUUCUGUGUUUCAGUGACCCAGAGUCAAGUGCAAUCUGAAGCCAGCGAUCCUUCUGACUCCUCACCAGGUCAACAGUAGCCUAAAUGUGUCACAACACCUACAUUAUCCUUUUCCCUUCUUCUCAUCACUAGACAUUUUAUCAUCUCACCUCAUCCCAAGGAGAAGGAGAGAGAGAAAGUGAGAGACAGCAAGCAUGAGCAAGGCGGGAAGGACAGGGGAGAGAAUCUUAAGCAAGCUCCACACUCCGCGUGGAGCCUGAUGGGGGGCUCCAUCUCACAACCCCGAGAUCACGACCUGAGCCGAAAUCAAGAGUCCAACACUCAACCAACUGAGCCACGCGGGCACCGCUCUUUCCCC
rnacentral:lncRNA from 1 species